rnacentral:rRNA from 1 species
CCUACGGGAGGCUGCAGUGGGGAAUAUUGGACAAUGGGCGAAAGCCUGAUCCAGCCAUGCCGCGUGUGUGAAGAAGGCCUUCGGGUUGUAAAGCACUUUCAGUGGGGAAGAAAGCCUUGGGGCUAAUACCCUCGAGGAAGGACAUCACCCACAGAAGAAGCACCGGCUAACUCCGUGCCAGCAGCCGCGGUAAUACGGAGGGUGCGAGCGUUAAUCGGAAUUACUGGGCGUAAAGCGCGCGUAGGCGGUCUGAUAAGCCGGUUGUGAAAGCCCCGGGCUCAACCUGGGAACGGCAUCCGGAACUGUCAGGCUAGAGUGCAGGAGAGGAAGGUAGAAUUCCCGGUGUAGCGGUGAAAUGCGUAGAGAUCGGGAGGAAUACCAGUGGCGAAGGCGGCCUUCUGGACUGACACUGACGCUGAGGUGCGAAAGCGUGGGUAGCAAACAGGAUUAGAUACCCUUGUAGUCC